ensembl:snRNA U6 U6 spliceosomal RNA
GUGCUUGCUUCAGCAGCACACAUACUAAAAUUGGAACGAUACAGAGAAGAUUAGCAUGGACCCUGUGCAAGGAUGACACACAAAUUUGUGAAGCGUUCCAUAUUUUA